GGGGAUUUAGCUCAGCACCUGCAUAAGCACCUGCCUUGCAAGCAGGCAGUCGUGAGUUCAAUCCCCG
rnacentral:tRNA from 1 species